CCAGUGUCUGGCUCGACGACGCUGGCGGCGUGCUUAACACAUGCAAGUCGCGUGCGCAGUUGCCGUAGCAAUACGGUGAUGGGCGCACGGCGCACGGGUGCGUAACACGUGGGCAAUCUGCCCUUUGAUGGGGAAUAACCCGCCGAAAGGCGGGCUAAUUCCGCAUAAGAUUCUUUGGACCUCGGUCUGAAGAUUGAAAGCAGUAAUGCGUCGAAGGAGGAGCCCGCGCCCGAUUAGCUAGUUGGUGAGGUAAUGGCUCACCAAGGCAAUGAUCGGUAGCUGGUCUGAGAGGAUGAUCAGCCACACUGGAACUGAGACACGGUCCAGACUCCUACGGGAGGCAGCAGUGGGGAAUCUUGCACAAUGGGCGAAAGCCUGAUGCAGCGACGCCGCGUGGGGGAUGAAGCAUUUCGGUGUGUAAACCCCUUUCGACUGGGAAGAAUGCCUCGCAAGAGGAGUGACGGUACCAGUAGAAGAAGCCCCGGCUAACUACGUGCCAGCAGCCGCGGUAAGACGUAGGGGGCCAGCGUUGUUCGGAAUUACUGGGUGUAAAGGGUUCGUAGGCGGUGCGGCAAGUUGGGAGUGAAAUCUCUGGGCUUAACCCAGAGGCUGCUUCCAAAACUGCUGUGCUCGAGUGUGAGGGAGGCUCGUGGAAUUGCAGGUGUAGCGGUGAAAUGCGUAGAUAUCUGCAGGAACACCCGUGGCGAAAGCGGCGAGCUGGAUCACUACUGACGCUGAGGAACGAAAGCUAGGGGAGCAACAGGAUUAGAUACCCUGGUAGUCCUAGCCCUAAACGAUCAGGACUUGGGGUGCCACCCGUUCGGGUGUCGUCCCGGAGCUAACGCGUUAAGUCCUGCACCUGGGGAGUACGGU
rnacentral:rRNA from 1 species